GCCUGGAUUGGCCCAGCUCUUUGGGGCUGGACCCCCGAGGGCCCCGUGGCGCUUUCUUCAGCCUGGAGCGCCAGGUCUCCAGGGCGCUCGGUGCCAGGAGCUACUCUGCCUGUCCUCCCAGCGCUCCGCCACUAUUGACAACCCUUGAAAAUUGGAACAAUAGAUCAAGCUCUUCGCUGCCCUCCGCAUGGCACCAGGACCUCGCCUUCUAUUUCAAUUGUCUGAGAAGAAGAAACCGAGAACCGAGAAAAGCCAAGCCCUGUGCGCGCGGCCCGCGCUGGGCGUGGAGUAGCUGGGCCGCGCGCUGAGCCAGGCGGGGCUCGGCCCCCCGGGACCCCCGGGACCCCCGGACCCAGCACUCGCGGGGAGGAUGGGCGGGAUGGCGCCAUCCUGAUUCCGCCUCCACCUGGGGAAGGGAGCGGCUCACAGCCCCUCUGCUCAGCACUAGCUGGCGGCGGGGGGCACGGCCAGCUCAGCCUGGCUCCUUUCCAAGGACCUAAUCUCAAGAGCGCUCCUGCUCAAUGCUGCCACCCCAUGGAGGGAAGCUGCAGGCCGCACCACGUCCCAGGGACAGGGGCCCUGACCUCACACCCACCUGCUCCUCCAGGGAGGCCAGUCUUUGCUCCACAGAGCCCGACCUCUUCAGACGGUCCAUGUCCAGCAGGUCCACCAUGGUGUCCACCCUGGAAGAGGACACAGUGAGCCCAACAUAGGCCAGGCCUGGGGUCCAGGAUGUGAAGGGCUUCUCUGGAUCCCUGUGACUCAGUCACUGUGAGGUGUAAGAACUGUCUAGAUCUGCAGCCUCAGAGCUUGUCGGAGACCUCAGCCCACGGCACUGGUGCAGAGCAGGAGCUGAGUUGGCUCCACUCAGCCAUGGCCUUGUGAGUCCACAGUCAUGGCAGGCACAGACCCUCGAGGGGAGGGUGACCAGGCUGGGAGCCUCGGCAAGAUUCUAUUGAUGUACACAGACUUUUGUCAAAGACCCGACUGCAACAGAUUCUGGCCAGCACAAGCAGUGUCCCUGCUUACCAGCAACAUUCCGUCAAGCAUGCUCUGUCAGGCUUGUCUUGGGAAAUUUAUAUUUUAACUGAGCUUUUUCAAGCUCAGGAUGUAAUGAGAGGAGCCUGACUUCUUCUGAGUCCCUCAGCUGGGAGUCAGGCAUCAGACUAACUCCGAGUCCCCGCAGCCACCAGAGCCAGGGCUGAGGCCGGACCUGUACCCAGGGGCCGAGCUCCUUAGGCAGACACCAUAGCGUCACCCUGAGGCACUCAGGCCAAACUGCAAUGGUCAUAGCAGCGGACACCGAGUUGUCCGACUUUCUGCCUUUCCUGGGCCUCCAGUUCCUCCUCACUGGUAACUCUUCCUCCUCACUGGUAACUCCUGCUCCAUAAGAGAGGACUGGGUGAGAUGGCCCAGGGAAGCCUAGCCCACAAGGACCCCUGACACACUGUGGCCACUGGUGUCCAGCCCUAACUGUAAUGACUGUCACUGCUGCUGCAGCCUUCAGCUUCAGGGCCUGUGUAGAGCGUCCUGCCUUCCAGACACACUCCUGACCACCCUCCUCCCAUGCCAGGGCCCUGGGCACAGCCAUUGCUCAGAGUCAAAUGCUUCCAGACAAGGUCAUCGAAGCCAUCACUGGCCACAGCACAUAAGGAAUGGUGCUCAGAGCCCUGCAUGGACCCCACAUGCGUCCUCUUUAACUAGAUCAGGGGGGUCCAACAUGCCGUUCUCAGGCAUGCAUUUUGUGAGGACUUUUUUUGCUUAUCUGUGGUGUUGGAUAUCAUGAAAAUAUGCACAGGACUUUUGGGGUUUUUUUGUUAAUCAGCUUUUGUUAGUCUUUGUGUAUUUACUGUGUAUCCCAAGACAACUCUUCUUUUAAUGUGUGGCAGAGAAGCCAAAAAGUUGGACAUCCCUGAAGUAGACCACCAGAGCAGGCUGGUGCUGAGCAGGCCUGGAGACUGCUGCCCAGCCUCUUGCAAUCCCGCUGGGCCAGGGGCCAGCUGCAGCUCUGGGGUCACACAGGAUCGGCUCAGCACCUGCUACACUGAGCCUGCUCUAGGUCCCAGGAUACUGUGGGGACAGGAGGGACUUUGUCCUUGUUGACAUGGACCUUAUUAUCUCCAUAAAGGGGACAGGGAGACAUUAACCCAACCCACUGGCUCAUCCACUUACAAACCCACCAACCCACAGACCAACAUUCAGUAUUUUAAAAAGACAGAAUGGGGACAAAGUGGGUGGAGGGCAGGGUAGGUCCUCCAGAGAAGUGAUGCAGCAACUCCUGUCUUUCUCUGGGAGAAGACUCUCCCAAGCACAGGACAUGCCAAGGGCUCAACUGGAAGUCACUGUGCCAAGACUCAAGCAGACGGGUCUUCUAGCAUGGAGGCUAGAAGGGGCGCUGACCAUCAGGGGUCACUGAGGGACUCACCAUUGUCACCAUCGUCACCACCAGUGUCAUCACUAACCAUCAUCACCACCACCAUCACCACCAUUAGUACCAUCACCUGUGGUUCACCAUCAUACCAUCACCACCAUUCACCGUGGUUGCCACCGUCACCAUCACCAUCAUACCAUCAUCACCAUUCACCGUGGUCGCCACCGUCACCAUCACCGUCAUCAUUACUCAUGUUGCUAAAAGCAACACCUGCACCAGCUCUGUAUGUGCUCAGUGCUUUACAGGCAUAAUCCCACUGUGUUCCAGAAACAACUGCAGGCAAUGAUGCUAUUAACAUGGUCUCCACGUUAUGGAGGUGGUCAGGGAGGCACAGACAAAGGCUCAUUCAUAGCUCUAAGGAAGGGCCACUUAGCCUGGUCUACCCAGAGCCCACGUUCUUGGCCUCCCCUGCAGCUCCAAGAUGCCCCACUCGAUGGCUGGCAGGCACCUCCACUGCCAUAACCAAUGACAACAUGUCCCUUCCUCCCGCUCCUCCCCUCAUGCAGUGAGGAGCCUGGGGCCAGGCAGGGGCAGAGCCUGGACGCAGCAGGACGUGGGGCCAGGCUCUCCCAGCUGUCUGUUGCUGGCAGUCAGGCCCUGCUGGAACCCAUCAAUGCCGAGGGGAGGAAGCAGAAAGAUCUUUCCCCAACACUGACCCCACAGGUGGGAGGGGUGGCGAGGAGGCAGUGCUGACCAGCCCUGCUGCUGAGACUCAGAGGCUGCCCAAGGUCAUGCACCAACAAGCUCAGGGGGCAGACCAUCCCCACUUGUGAACUCCCAGCAGACAGCUUCCCAGGCCUCUGGUUGGCCUUCUACGGCCCGUCCUGCCCUCCUCCAGCCCAUGAGGCUUCCCCUCCAGGCCUCCCUCAGCCCCAGAGGGAGGGCACAGGCCUGGCUGUCUGUGGAGGUGCCAAGGUCACAGACUGCAGUUUCCCUCCUGGGGCGGUGUGUUGGCUCCUGAGGUGGGGUGCAUGCUGCACUCACGCAGCAUUGUGGGGGCUGGGGGCUGCCCGGGUCCC